rnacentral:rRNA from 1 species
CUCCUACGGGAGGCAGCAGUGGGGAAUAUUGCACAAUGGGGGAAACCCUGAUGCAGCAACGCCGCGUGAAGGAAGAAGGCCUUCGGGUUGUAAACUUCUUUGAUAGGGGAAGAGAACGGACUGUACCCUAAGAACAAGCCACGGCUAACUACGUGCCAGCAGCCGCGGUAAUACGUAGGUGGCAAGCGUUGUACGGAAUUACUGGGUGUAAAGGGCGUGUAGACGGGACCUUAAGUCAGAUGUGAAAUACCCAAGCUUAACUUGGGGGCUGCAUCUGAAACUGAGGUUCUUGAGUGUCGGAGAGGAAAGCGGAAUUCCUAGUGUAGCGGUGAAAUGCGUAGAUAUUAGGAGGAACACCAGUGGCGAAGGCGGCUUUCUGGACGAUAACUGACGUUGAGGCGCGAAAGCGUGGGGAGCAAACAGGAUUAGAUACCCUGGUAGUCCACGCCGUAAACGAUGGAUACUAGGUGUAGGGGGUAUCGACCCCCCCUGUGCCGGAGUAAACACAAUAA